CUGGGAAAAUAACCAUUGGUUUUAAGAAACCCUAGCCGCACUCUGAUCCCCUUUCUCCUUGCUGACAACCAACCGCGAGGAAGCUAAGGGGGGGAGGUGGCCACUGCCCUUCCUCCCCUCCACCCAUCUUCCCCUUCCUCUCCUCAUCUCCCUUUUUUUUUUUUUUUUUUUUUUUCUCCAUAUUUUCCUUUUCUCUUAUCCCCUCUUCUCCUUCCCUUCCCCUCCCCAGAUAGUCUAGAUCUGUUUGGAUCUAGGUCUAUUUGUUUUGUUUGGUUGUUUUUGUAGUGUUCCAAGUGACUGGUGUUGUCUUUGUCUCGGCGGCGGUGACAAUAGUGACGCUGGAUUGUGUCUCUCCUUUGGAGAGUUGUGAUACUGGGUGGCUGAUAUUUUGUUUCUGUUUUAACGGCGGCUGCAGCAGCGACGCUGAUGGUAGUUGUUGGGAUGUGGUGCUCUUCUUUACUCUGCGCCGACCGAAGAACUAUGCUUGGUCAUAUGAGGUUUUCUUUGUCAGGUUCUGAGUCGAAGUGGAGUACUUCUUAUUGGUCUUUUUACUAUGGUUUAUGUGUUCGUCCUCCGUGUUCUCACCUGGUUUCUGCUAUGGUAUGACUUACAGUUUGUAUAGGUGUCAAAUGACUAUGAUUUUGCUCAUAGAAGGUUUCUUUUGACAAUUGGGAUGUCGUGGGGUCCUUUCAUGUGGGUUUACUAUUUGGGGUUUCUACGGUCCUCAUGUGGGUCUACUGUGUUGAUCUCUAGUUGCGGUUCUCGUCGGAGGUCUUUGUGUUAGGUUUUAUUUUUGAC
rnacentral:lncRNA from 1 species